rnacentral:rRNA from 1 species
UAUUAUACUAAAUUUAAACUAAAAACUAGAAUAUUAUAAGAUAGAGUCUUUAAAUUCAAAGAAUUUGGCGGUAAUUUAGUCUUUUCAGAGGAACCUGUUUUUUAAUCGAUAAACCACGAUUUAUCUUACUUGUUUUAAAUUUGAGUUUGUAUACCGUCAUUAUCAGAUAAUAUUUAAAGAAAAUUAUUAAAUUUUAGAAAAUAAUAAAAAUUAGAUCAAGGUGCAGCUGAUAAAUAAGUUAAAAUGGGUUACAAUUAAGUAGAUUUAAUACGGAUUAAAAUUUGAAAUUUUUUUAGGAAGGUGGAUUUGAUUGUAAUCAAAAUUAAUAUGAUAUGGAGAUAUAAGCUCUAAAUUAU